rnacentral:rRNA from 1 species
CCUACGGGUGGCUGUAGUGAGGAAUAUUGGUCAAUGGUCGGGAGGCUGAACCAGCCAAGCCGCGUGAGGGAGGAAGGUACAGAGUAUCGUAAACCUCUUUUGUCAGGGGACAAAGGCGUGGACGUGUCCCCGGAUGAGUGUACCUGAAGAAAAAGCAUCGGCUAACUCCGUGCCAGCGGCCGCGGUAAUACGGAGGAUCCGGGCGUUAUCCGGAUUUAUUGGGUUUAAAGGGGGCGCAGGCGGUCUGUUAAGUCAGCGGUCAAAGCCCGGGGCUCAACCCCGGCCCGCCGUUGAAACUGGCAGUCUUGAGUUGGAGAGAAGUAUGCGGAAGGCGUGGUGUAGCGGUGAAAUGCAUAGAUAUCGCGAAGAACUCCGAUUGCGAAGGCAGCAUGCCGGCUCCACACUGACGCUGAGGCACGAAAGCGUGGGUAUCGAACAGGAUUAGAUACCCGGGUAGUC